rnacentral:rRNA from 1 species
UACGUAGGGCGCAAGGCGUUGUCCGGAAUUAUUGGGCGUAAAGAGCUCGUAGGCGGCUUGUUGCGUCGGUUGUGAAAGCCCGGGGCUUAAACCCCGGGUCUGGCAGUCGAUACGGGCAGGCUAGAGUGUGGUAGGGGAGAUCGGAAUUCCUGGUGUAGCGGUGAAAUGCGCAGAUAUCAAGGAGGAACACCGGUGGCGAAGGCGGGUCUCUGGGCAGUAACUGACGCUGGAGGAGCGAAAGCGUGGGGAGCGAACAGG